CGGGAGGAUUACUUGAGAUGAUGAAUGCAGAGACCCUGGCACAGUACCAAGUACAGGCUGGGCCGGAUGGCAAGUUAGGAAGCUCCACACACCCACACCGAGCCGGCUGCUCUGAGGAGGGGAGGCGUCUUCACUGAGGAGGAAUCGGGGCGCUCACCCAGGAUGCACUAUGGUGCUUCAGCCAAGUGAAAGGCACUCUCGAGAUUGGAGCCACGGAAG